GGAAGAGAGCGAGCGCCCGGGCCUCGGUGUGCCCUGCGUGAAAUGGGGGAAAUCGUACCUGCCCUGGCCACCUCGUGGGUUCGGAGAAUUGACUGUGACAGUAGACGCGAGCGCGCUCGGAUGGAAGUAAAGUUGUUGCCCAGGGGUCACUGCUGGGGAGGCCUGGACACAGCACUCACAACAGCCAAGUGAGCCUACCUCGUACUUGCUUCCAGAGGACUCGAACCGUUUUGCACACAUCUUGCUUACUUCUGCAAACUGAAGAGCUGGCAAAAGCAGCUACAGUCCUCAU